UCUCGAGGGGGCAGCCGAGCCUGGAACCCUGCCUGGGAGGGAAGGCGGGCCUCACCACGCCAACGCUAGACGGCGAGGCCCCCUGAGGGUUAGGGGACUCCCCGAUGGGUGGGUGGGUGGGUGGGCGGCCGCCUGGAAUUCCACCCGCCCCAGGCCUCCGCCCCCAUCUGCCCCAUCCUGUGGAUUAGGCCCGCGCCCCGCCUCGGCCGCCCUCCCGCCAGACAAAGGCAGUAAAGGCGAAGCCUGCGGGCGGUCUUUCAUCGAACGGCGGGCUCCGGCAUUUCAAAGGCCAAGUCGGGAAGGCGCUUCGGGGGGUGCUCGCCUUCCCCCCCCCCCCCCCAGAUACCUCGGGGUGAGGGUGAGGAGGGUGGAGGCAGGACCUCUCCUGCCCUUCCCCGAGGGCCCGGGUCUACCAGCGCCCUUCCACGUGCCUUCACACACCUGCAGCCUCCCCGAUGCCCCUGCCUUCCCCUGGCGGCAGCCCCUCGCAGGGACCCCGCCACCAACCCCUCUCUCCAGGUGGUCAGGAUGGAGAAAGCCCGAGGUAGAACCAGGGAAAACUUGGAAACGUUUAGAAGCACGUGAGGGCCAGUCCUUGUCCGUCCAGCUGGAACCUUCGAUGGCUCCGAGAGGGGGACCACUGGCAGGCUUGGGGAGGGCAGCCGAACAGGCACCCCCAAGGACUCAGGCUGGACCGGGUCUGAGCCAUCGCCUACGCGCCUCCCGAACUGACUGCAUCGCGUCCGCUCGAGCCUGGGAUUCCUCUCCGGCAGAGGGGCCCGAGGACAGUCCCUCGGGGCUAAAGGGCUGGGUCUGGUCGUGGGCGCGGGAAUGGAGGAGGAACUCCGCCGCCCGUGCGGGGGCUGAGGUGGGUGCCUCCCUCCGCGCCCCUCCCUGGCGGCACUUCAGGGGUGCCCAGCUGGAGUUUGCGGCCAGCAUGGCGGCCAAGGGGGCGCUUUCGAUAGGAGUUGCAGGCCAGCCCCAGGGCGGAAAGCAAGGGCGAGGCCGGGGUGCAUCCCGCCCCCGGACUGGAGAGCUUUUGGGGGCGCGGCGCAGGCGUCCCUAUAAUCGCCGGCGGCUAUUAAAAAUAAAAACCUCAGCGAGUCGUCAUAGCGACCAGACAACAGCCGCUGCGGGAGGGCGGCAAAAACCGUGCCACCGGCGCCGCUGGGGGAGAUUCGGGGCACGCCGCGCGUUCCAGCCGGGGCGGGGCUACGACCCCAGCCCCACGGGCCCCGCCCUCCCCCACCCCCGAAAAAACUGGCAGAAACAGAGCCAGGGGCCCGGCUUCCAAGAAUGCGACGUAGAGAUACAACUGACUUGACCAAGAGGUCAACAACUUGGGUGAGAACCCACGCGACGCGCUCCCUCCUCCCCGGCCCGUGCCGCGCGGCGCCCCGCCCACUCAGGUCCCAAGCGUCUCCCUUUCGGCCCGCGGAGAGGGGGGGGAGGGCACUGGGUGAGCAGGUGGGCUUCGGGGGCUCACCCCGGACAGGGAGCCGAAAGUCCGGAGGCCAGGCGCGUGGGGGGCUGCUGCACCUGCCCGGUGCGCCGGGUCCGCGCUCCUUGCGGAUCAGGCGUGGUCACGUGCUUCUUUCUGCCCCGGAUCGAGUUUCCCUUCCAGCCGCUAUUAGGCGGUUCACACGGUUCAUUGCAAAUAUUUGAUAAUGAGGCUAAAUAUACAUCGGAAUCGGAGGAGGCGUGGGCGGCCGUGCGGAGAGCGUGGGCGCGGCGUUCCCGGCUGGGCGGGCAUCCCCACCCAGGCCCUGCGGAGGCGCCGGACCCCGGGACGGGCACCAGGCUGUGUGCUACAGGGAGACCCGCCCCGCGCGCCGCCCCCGGGCCAUUCCGGCCCCAGGCUCGGGUACUGUCCCCAGAGGCCAGCUAGAGGGCCCCUGGCGGAAGGAGGGGGCGCCGCAGGGAUCUCCAGGGUGGGGAGGUGCUGGCGGGAGGUGAAGGUGCACCUGGCCGCUGGGAUGUCCGGUCGCCCCCGGAGCGGGUGCUUCCGGGCUAUCUCGGGCGUCUCCGGCGCGCCCCGACGUGCCUGCAGGCCCAUAAUUAGAGUGAGUCAGGUGCUCUAAAUAGGCGGAGAGAGGGGGUGCCGUGCAGCUGGGGUGACUGGUUGGGCGACAGCCACUGGUGCCUCACCAUACUGCCCAUGAUCCCGCAGCAGGGAGGAGUGGGAAGGACCUUGGCCGUUCCUCGGAGCAAAGUAGGGGCCAGAGGGGCACCCGCUUCAUUAAGCACCCGGUGAGCUGCGUAGCCUGCGUGUCACCCUAACCCCAGCUCACCUCAUUCCCUCUCCACCCGCUGCCAGUACCUGCCUGGGGCCUGGCGCCAGCUGACAAGCCGCUACUGCUAGGAUUGCUGUUACUUCCCGGUGGAAGUCACGACGAACAUCCACUGACCACCUGGGUCCCUGUGUGACUUCAUUUCCCUCACACGGACACAGACGAGAGCAGAAACGGAGUUUGAAACAGCUGUGAGCCCGCAGUCAUCUUGCGAGUAUGCUGUGCGUCAAGACCCACGUUAAGGGACACUUGGCGGCUUGCAGGCUAGACUGUGUGGUUCGGGAGCCACCAGCCACCCUGUGGCCGCUGGCGUGUGAACCGUGGCUGCUUCACCCAGAGAUACGCCGGACACGCACGGCCUCCGUGGCCGAGAGGGCUUCGUGUGCAGGCAAAGGGUGUGACAUUUCUCAUUGCCGAUUUUUAAAUUCGUUCCAUGUUGAGAUGAUAGCAUUUCGAUGUAUUGCUUAAAUAAAUUAUAUUACUGCAA